UACGGAGGAUGCGAGCGUUAUCCGGAUUUAUUGGGUUUAAAGGGUGCGUAGGCGGGCUUUUAAGUCAGCGGUAAAAAUUCGGGGCUCAACCCCGUCCGGCCGUUGAAACUGGGGGCCUUGAGUGGGCAAGAAGAAGGCGGAAUGCGUGGUGUAGCGGUGAAAUGCAUAGAUAUCACGCAGAACCCCGAUUGCGAAGGCAGCCUUCCGGCGCCCUACUGACGCUGAGGCACAAAAGUGCGGGGAUCGAACAGG
rnacentral:rRNA from 1 species